AAAAAUAUAUCAAAUAUAAUACAAUUUAUUUAUUUUUUAAUAUUUGUUAUGUUAUUUUGUUAGACGUCGUUUUAGUUAUCCUCCUCAGCGCUUUGUGUUGAAACUUCCUGUGCAUGAAAAGGCUUACAAAAAUAAAAGUUUUGAUUGAUUGAUUAAACAUGCUGAGGAGUUCAAAUUGAAGAUUUCACAACUAAUGUAUACAACUUUUAUUUGGUAUAAUUAUAGCUAAACAUUUUAAAGCUGUAAAGUCUUAUUUUUAAGGCUUAGAUUUGUUUGACGUGCUUUUAAUUUGAAAGACGUACUUUGUACUUUCUGUUUAGUAAGCCGACAUAAGCACCGCGAAGCCAGCCACCUUUCACUGUUCGACUCAAACAAACAACGUUCCCCUCCAGAUAACUCUUUUUUUUUUUUUCUUUCUCCAAAUUUGUGUCGGACAGACUCUUCGUCAAAGGUCGGACGCUGAGAUAAAAGUGGCGGCGUCGCUUCGGUGUGCUCGACUCUUCGUCAAAGGUCGGACGCUGAGAUAAAAGUGGCGGCGACGCUUCUGGUGUGCUCGGUAUUCUCCAAGGCUUUGACACAUGAGACUCCACAACAGUUUCUCCAGCCUUAUCAUCAACAGAGAUGCUGGAAGAGUUGGAUGUAAAAAAAACCUCUGCGUUGGCAUUCCAAAGGGAGACUUGGGCAUCUCGGCCAUGGGGAUCAUCUGCUCGCCGGGUCUGACCCACAUGAUGGGGCCGUCGUCGCUCUCCGUGGGACUCUGGAGCCUCAGACUGGAGAAGGUUCCCCAGGGUAGAGUCCGCUGCCAGAACAACCAGCAAGUAAGGCAAAGACUCAAAAAUAUCUCAAAUAUAUACUCGACAUAUUCCUAUUCGCAAUGCUGACCCAUGCUAGAGAUGUUGAAGUGUGAUGAUAAUCUCAUUUACCAACAACAAUGAACUAUAAAACACACAGAAUGUCUGCAACUUGUGUAUGACAGAGCAGACAGUGAAGGUAGGGUUUCUUUCUAGAAUUAUUUGUCCUAAUGAAAAACACUGCAAUAAUUUCAUCGUGUGCUUCUACUGCCAUCUAGUGUCUAAUUCUAAAUCCGUAUAGUAUAAAACAAGAAAAACAUCAAUCACAUGUCAAGUACCAUGUUAUAUGACUCCACAUAACUCAUAAUUUCAUCAUAAAGUAUGUCCUUGUACUGCUAUCUAGUGUCUAAUUUCAAGUCUGUAUAGUAUAAAACAAGAAAAACAUCAAUCACAUGUCAAGUACCAUGUUAUAUGACUCCCGGGGUGAAUGGUUGAAACAUUUGAAAAAAGUAAGCACGCUAACAGUUAACAUGAUUCACGUACCAAGUUAUAUUAUUAGGAUGUACGGCUGUGAAAUUAACUUGGAAAAAAAAAAAAAGUGUAAAAUUAGCCCAAAAUGUUAGCACGCGACUCUAAAUAUGUUAGCAUAUGUCAAGUCAACGUGUCAGUAAAAUAACCUUGGGAUAAUCCGCCCAUCCCUUUUUUACCGCUCGUUCCUAACGGUUAUAAAAUUUGCAAGAAAGUUAGCAAGCUUAAGUUGACAUGUUAGCAUGCUAACAGUUAGCAUGUGUCACGUACCAAAUGAUAUGACUCUAAAGGUUAUUUAAAUCCUGUGCUAAGAGUGCAAGUACCAUUGAUUAAAAACCAUAAACUAGAAAAAAAUAAGCCUGGAAAUUUUGCAACUUUUGGCACAACUUUAUGAAGAAGCGACUGCAAAUUAGCCCAAAAUGUUAGCCAGCUACUUUAAACAAGUUAGCAUAUGUCUAGUCAACAUGUCAAUAAAACAACUCUGGGAUAAUCUAUAAAUGGCUUUUAUAACACUCGUUCCUAACGGUUAUAAAAUUUGCAAAAAAUUUAGCAAACUUAAGUUAGCAUGCUAACAGUUAGCAUGUGUUACAUACCAAAUGAUAUGACUCUGAGUGUAAGUAACAUUGAUUAAAAAUCAUAAACUCAAAAAAAACUAAGCCUCGAAACUUUGCAACUUUUGGCACAACUUUUUGAAAAAUUAGCCCAAAAUGUUGGCAUGCGAUUUAAAACAAGUUAGCAUAUGUCAAGUCAACAUGCCAAUAACACAAAACUGAGAUAAUUUGUCCAUCCCUUUUCUACUGCUUGUUCCCAACGGUUAUAAAAUCUGCAAAAAACUUAGUUCUUAGGUUAUAACAUUUAUAAAAAAGUUAGCAUGCUAACAGCUAGCAUGUGUUUCGUACCAAAUGAUAUGACUCUGAGGUCAUUUAAAUCCUGUGCUAAGAUUGCAAGUACCAUUGAUUAAAAAUCAUAAACCCACAAGUUGAUUCAAGGUUAUUGUGAAAAAAAUUUGCCUUGAAACUUUGCAACUUUUUGAAAAAUUAGCCCAAAAUGAUAUCAUGCGCAUCCAAACAAGUUAGCAUGUGUCAAGUCAACACGUCAGUAACACAACUCUGAGAUAAUUUGUCCAUCCCUUUUCUACUGCUUGUUCCCAACGGUUAUAAAAUUUGCAAAAGUUAGCAUGUUACCAUUUAGCAUGUGUCACGUACCAAAUUAUAGCAUUCUGAGGUCAUUUAAAUCUUGUGCUAAGAUUGCAAGUACCAUUGAUUAAAAAUCAUAAACUCACAAGUUGAUUCAAGGUUAUUGUGAAAAAAAUUUGCCUCGAAACUUUGCAACUUUUGGCACAGCUUAUUGAAAAAUUAGCCCAAAAUGAUAGCAUGCGGCUCUAAACAAGUGAGCAUAUGUCAAGUCAACAUGUCAGUAACAACUCUGAGAUAAUUUGUCCAUCCCUUUUCUACUGCUUGUUCCCAACGGUUAUAAAAUUAAAAAAAAAAGUUAGCAUGCUUAAGUUAGCAUGCUAACAGCUAGCAUGUGUUUCGUACCAAAUGAUAUGACUCUGAGGUCAUUUAAAUCCUGUGUUAAGAUUGCAAGUACCAUUGAUUAAAAAUCAUAAACUCACAAGUUGAUUCAAGGUUAUUGUGAAACAUUUUUGCCUUGAAACUUUGCAACUUUUUGAAAAAUUAGCCCAAAAUGAUAGCAUGCGCCUCUAAACAAGUUAGCAUAUGUCAAGUCAACAUGUCAGUAACACAACUCUGAGAUAAUUUGUCCAUCCCUUUUCUACUGCUUGUUCCCAACGGUUAUAAAAUUUAUAAAAAAGUUAGCAUGCUAACAGCUAGCAUGUGUUUCGUACCAAAUGAUAUGACUCUGAGGUCAUUUAAAUCCUGUGCUAAGAUUGCAAGUACCAUUGAUUAAAAAUCAUAAACUCACAAGUUGAUUCAAGGUUAUUGUGAAAAAAAUUUGCCUUGAAACUUUGCAACUUUUUGAAAAAUUAGCCCAAAAUGAUAUCAUGCGCAUCCAAACAAGUUAGCAUGUGUCAAGUCAACACGUCAGUAACACAACUCUGAGAUAAUUUGUCCAUCCCUUUUCUACUGCUUGUUCCCAACGGUUAUAAAAUUUGCAAAAGUUAGCAUGUUACCAUUCAGCAUGUGUCACGUACCAAAUUAUAGCAUUCUGAGGUCAUUUAAAUCUUGUGCUAAGAUUGCAAGUACCAUUGAUUAAAAAUCAUAAACUCACAAGUUGAUUCAAGGUUAUUGUGAAAAAAAUUUGCCUCGAAACUUU